rnacentral:rRNA from 1 species
AGUGAACGCUGGCGGCAGGCCUAACACAUGCAAGUCGAGCGGCAGCGGGUCCUUCGGGAUGCCGGCGAGCGGCGGACGGGUGAGGAAUGCAUCGGAAUCUGCCCUGUCGUGGGGGAUAACCUAGGGAAACUUAGGCUAAUACCGCAUACGACCCACGGGUGAAAGCGGGGGAUCGCAAGACCUCGCGCGAUAGGAUGAGCCGAUGUCCGAUUAGCUAGUUGGUGGGGUAAAGGCCCACCAAGGCGGCGAUCGGUAGCUGGUCUGAGAGGAUGAUCAGCCACACUGGGACUGAGACACGGCCCAGACUCCUACGGGAGGCAGCAGUGGGGAAUAUUGGACAAUGGGCGCAAGCCUGAUCCAGCCAUGCCGCGUGGGUGAAGAAGGCCUUCGGGUUGUAAAGCCCUUUUGUCCGGGAAGAAAUCGUCUGGGCUAAUACCCCGGGCGGAUGACGGUACCGGAAGAAUAAGCACCGGCUAACUUCGUG